AUAGGUCUGCCUUGCCCAAGGCAUUAGAUUCACAUUUUCCUUACAUUUUGUGGCUUAAUUUCCAGAGUACGUCUCAAAAGUGAAUGUCAACUUCCUGAUGUUUACACUCGAGGAGAAUAAGGUUUGGAGAUCUGGGCAGUUUACUGAAGGCACUCACAUCGAAAGAUUUUGUGAAGCCGAAAUUCAAACCCAGAUGUGUCCCGUCCAAAGACCACCCUCUUUAUACAGCAACAUGCUGCUUCCCUGGAUCAAGAAACACAAGGCAGAUAAAGCACCUUUGCUGGAGGAGAGCCUGAUCUGCCGACAUGACUGACCACAGAAAACACUGGUGAUAUCUUGAGGCUUAUGGAUGCCAUUACCUCCACUGUGAGGACGGUGCUAUGGGGAUUAGCUGUAAUAAUUCUCCUGGACACUUCCCGGAGCAGGUCAGCGGCUGGACUGAGACCAGCGUUUAAGGCAGUUAGAUCCUGACCGAAAGUAUUUUCCAUUGGACAAUGCUGCUGCUUCCCUGUGUCUUCUGAUGGGAGAAUCUGUAUCUCCAUUGCUCUGGUAACUCAGUAAGUCGUCAAUGCUAAGUUCUCUUUAAGCGACUAACUAGGCCAGACUCUCUUGGGCAGAGUGACAUUAAUUAGUCACAGCAUGGUCUGUGUAUAGAUACUUUGGACUAGAACCAACAUCUGUCAAAAUAAUGAUGUUAAAACUAAGCAUUUGUUCUGCAGAGGUUCUGCCCUCCCUCCUGCCCCUCCCCCAUAGAUGCAUUCCCUCCAUCUUUGUACGUGCAGGGCCUCAUUCUUCAUAUCACAAUGUGGGGUAAUUGUUGUAGGUUCAACUGCCUGUCUCCCUCACUAACUGAGAGUUCCCAGGGAGCAGAGACUGGGUUUUAUUCAUCUCAGCACCACAGGGAUCUAGCGCGGGGUUUACACAUAAAAGAUGCUAUGAUGUCAGCUCCAUGAGAACAGAGACCAUGUGCUCAUGUCAGCCCUUGGUGUCUAAGCCAGUGUCUGGCAUCAAGGAGACAUGCAGCAAAUAUUUGUUGGCUGAAAGCAUGAUCCUUAAUGAAAGGUCAUUUCCAUUACAUCAGUUAAUUAAAUAAAAAUAUAUCUGUUCAAAAUUAUGUGGUCAAUGAAAAAAAAGUCCAAAGGCUCUUUAAUGAUGUGGGAAAAUGUUCAGAGUAUAAUGCUGAGUUAAAAACAAAAAACAAGAAACAAAACAGGCCAGGCAUGGUGGCUCACUCCUGUAAUCCCUGCACUUUGGGAGGCCGAGGUGGGCAGAUCACCUGAGAUCAGGAGUUUGAGGCCACCCUGGCCAACAUGGUGAAGCCCCGUCUCUAACUAACUAAAAAUACAAAGAAGAAAAAAAAAAAAAAACAUUUGCCAGGCACGGUGGUGCACACCUGUAGUCCCAGCUACUCGGGAGGCUGGGGCAGGAGAAUCACUGGAACCCGGGAGGCAGAGGUUGCAGUGAGCCGAGCUGAGAUUACACCAUUACACUCCAGCCUGGGCAACAACAGCGAAACUCCAUCUCAAACAAACAAACAAACAAACAACAAAAAACAGGCUGAAAAUAUGUAGAUUCUGAAUGAUACUCAUCAUGUUAAAGAAAUGCCUUCUGGUUUACAUGGUUGUGUCUGGGUGCUGAGAUUUGGGGUGAUAUUUACUCUCAUCAUUGUAUCUUUAGGUCACUUUACAAAUUAUUUAAAAUAAGCCUGCAUUACUUUAAAAAUGGGGAAGAAGUCGGGCGCUGUGGCUCACGCCUGUAAUCCCAGCACUUUAGGAGGCUGAGGCAGGCGGAUCACAAGGUCAGGAGAUCAAGACCAUCCUGGCUAACACAGUGAAACUCCGUCUCUACUAAAAGUUCAAAAAAUUAGCCGGGCGUGGCAGUGUGCGCCUGUGGUCCCAGCUACUCGGGAGGCUGAGGCAGGAGGAUGGUGUGAACCCAGGAGGCGGAGCUUGCAGUGAGCUGAGAUCGCGCCACUGCACUGUAGCCUGGGUGACAGAGUGAGACUCUGUCUCAAAAAAAAAAAAAGGCGGGGAGGGGGGGUGAAAAUGUUUUAAGAGCAAAUAAUUUCAUCAGGUGCUUUAGUUGGUGUUUCUUCAGUGUGGUAAUUUAAGGGAUAAGAUGACUUCUGGGAAGGGAACAUUUCACAGAAUUGUUUUCUUUGCCUUCAGAAGGCCAAAUUUUCUAUCAGUUUGAUGAUUCUGGUAAUUCUCACAUUAACUGGUGGCCUCCUUAGCGGGUGGUGCCCUGAGGAAGAGCAUCUUUAUUUCUGAGUUUCUGUUACAGAGGCAAGAAGGAAUCCAGGAACAGAAGGCCCUUCCAGCCUUGUUUUAUAUUGCUUUGUUUAUUUUAAUUGUGUGGCUUCGCUCUGAACUAUGCUGGGGGGUGGUAUAAAAUUAAAAUACACUCACAUUGACUAAAUCAUUGACUGGCAAUAAUUUCCAGAGAUUUGUUUGUCUUUUUGUUUCUGUUUUUUUUUUUUUUUAACUCUGAAUUCUGUGUUCUAUGGAAAGCAUUAGUUUCAUACCUUUAUUUUCAUUUCAUUAUAAUGUAUGCCAUUUUAAAAUAGA
rnacentral:lncRNA from 1 species